ACUCAAAUGAAUAGACGGGGACUUGCACAAGCAGUGGAUUAUGUGGUUCAAUUCGAUGACAAACGAAGAACCUUACCAAGGUUAGAAAUCCAAGCGAAGACAGGAGGAAACUUUUGUCGUCUCACAAGGACGGUUGGACAGGUGAUGCAUGGCCGUCGUCAGUUCGUGGUUUGAAUUGUUCCCUUAAGUGGGGUAACGAACGCAACCCUCGUCGCGUGUUAUAAGUGUCACGCGAGACUACCCAGCACUUUUGGCAGUAAUAGUUAGUGCCAAAAGUGCUGGGGGGAAGGCGAGGAUGACGCCAGGUCAGCAUGUCCCUUUGAUAUCUUGGGCUACACACAUAAUACAAUCGCCAUUACAACGCGACGCAAUACCGCAAGGUGGAGCUAAUCGUAAGAAAAGUGGCGCCAGUUCGGAUUGAGGUCUGCAACUCGACCUCAUGAAGCCGGAAUUGCUAGUAAUCGCGGGUCAGCUAUACCGCGGUGAAUACGUUCUCAAGUCUUGUACACACCGCCCGU
rnacentral:rRNA from 1 species